UUCGGCACCAAAAAAACAGCUCCCGCGCCAGGUGAGAAAACCCUUGCUCUUCUUUUCUUUCAUACACAAGGAAGCAAAAACGGAAGCCCUAGCCCACCUACCUCGUGAGAUCAUCGACCCCACGAACUAGCACCUCAAGCAUGCAAUGGAUCUCUCCAUAAAGCACAAAUUUCUCCCUAAAGAUCUACAGUCAUAGGCUGUGAUUGGACGGUUCUGUUGGUGGUAGAAAGCCAUUUGUUCGAAUAAAGCUACUGAUUCUGUUAAGCAUAUAGAAAUUUUAGUAGUAAUCAUGGGAGGGAAUAGCUCUACUUUGGAAUCCUAUGAUAUCUACCAUAAAGAAUCCAGAGGGUAUUCAAGGAUUCCCAAUAACUACAACUCGCUCGAUCAGGUAAUUGAUUUUGGAGUUCAUAAGCUUUAGAAAUACAAUAACGUUGGGGUAUUUCAUCUAUUACCUACCUUGUCAAUUCCAUGUUGAAUUGCCUCAUUGAGCUGCUUGUGAAAACUAUCUGGUCCUCUUCUUAAUAGACCUUGAAUAAUAAAUAA